CCCGGAAGCUAUAGGCUCGCUCAGUUGAUGAGGCUCACGUCUGCAGGGAAACCCUGCUUCUGUUGAUGCUUCAGUAGCCUUAAUUGUCUUCGCCAUUCAAGGUAGUUUGUGUUACUGUGGCUCUAUAAGAUCAAGAAGUAAAUACGAACCAACAGAAGUGACAACCUCGGGAAAACGUUAUUACUUGGAAAUAGAGCCAAAAAUACCUUUGCCUGACUCCUGAGAUUAGAUCUGAAGGGACAAUGUUUUGAUAAGAAAAAUGGCAAGAUGCAGAGAGACAGAGAGAAGGUACAAAGAAAGAAAGCCACCCAGAAUAGAGUGGCAAAGGAGGUUGAAGAAGUGAGAUUCAAAAAUAAUUUUCUUUUCCAUACUGAUAUAUAGCUACUGAUAUAGGGUAGCUAAGAAAACUUACAGAGAUUUCAAGGAAAACACCAUCUCUGGGAAAGUUUUUCUUUGAUCAUUUGACCGCUUUUGAAUAAAAAUCCCCGGACACCAGCAACUCAAAAGUUCAGAAGAUCAAAACCUGACAGGGAUCAAAAUUUCAAUCGAUACUCAAAGAAAAGUUUACAGAUAGGGGACUGGGUCAAAACAAAGAAUACAAAAUGUGCAGUCACUAGCUUAAGACUCUGGCCUUACACUCUUAACUACCAGGAGGUUUGUUGCCUGUUGAGAGUCCUUGAUGGGGACAGGACAGACUCUGUUCUGUUUCCUGUUACCAGGCUCAUAAAAACCGGACUGGGUAUACAUUCCUAAUACCCACUUCACUUAGCACCUGAAGUCAGUACAGGUCAGCUAUGCUACCUCCUUAGAAGAGACUUUUCUACGUGCCCAAGAUCAUAUAUUUUACUGUUUGACUUGGAGGAAAGGUGUUAUGCCUAUGGUGUGAAGUCAGAAGACUGAGUGAGGUGACACAUGCCACUGCAGUUAAAAUACGUGCUGAAGACAAAUCCUCUUCCUGUUUAUCAUACCUCUCUGAACUGUUUAUUGGAUUUCAGAACACAGCUCUCUCCACCCCAACCCAGUAAAGAGACCUGCAGCAGGUGAGUUAGAACCUCAAAUGAGAAAGCCGAAGAGUCAACUGAAAGACCAGGAAAUACUUGAUUGCUAGCAUGCAUCUCCCUAAAUUGGAAUACAGCCACAAACCCUCGGGGCGAAAUCCCCAACCCCCACAGCAGCAGCCGGACAGCAUCUGGUGUGCUGGUGUGCAUAGCACCCUCCAGCGUGAUGAAAUCGAGCCAGUAGAGCUGAACUUCAGACCAGCACCAGCUUGAUUGAUUUGUGUAUGUUGGGCAGGCUUUUGUGCCACCUGUUUUUGUUUUUGUAUUUAUUCUAUGUGCAGCAAGAAGCCAAAGGGAAGAAAAGGAGCAUAGAGUAUUUCUUCCCUUUAUUCUUUCCUUGGAGUUUUCCAGCUUCUCUCCAUCACCAAAGGAGGCUGCUCUUCUCAGGGCGAUCACUCUCCAUGAGUCUUCCUCCUGGCUGCCCUCUUCUUCUUGUCUUAACAUGCAGCUGGGAUCCUCUCUUGUUCCCUGACAAUUAUGACUACUCUGAAACUGUGAAGCAGGAUCCAUAAAUGUGAAAACUCUGAAUAGCUGUAAACAGUUCCCAAGCUGGAACUGCUUGGGUCGGAAUUAAUAAACGACAAGGUUGGAGGAGGCCGAUGUGUUCCGAUUUGUUAUCUUUUUGUUGCCUCUGUGUAUAUGACUAAGGAAUCCAUCGAAGUUCUCAGUCCAGACAUCUAAUGAGCGUGUUUUAAUAACUCUUCUCC
ensembl:lncRNA LOC120096262 uncharacterized LOC120096262